AACGAACGCUCGCCGCAUGCCUAACACAUCCAAGUCGAACGAGCCCUUCGGGUAUAGUUGCGCACGGGUGCCUAACCCCUGGCAACCUGCCCUUAGGUUCUGAAUAACUCCCCGAAAGGGGUCCUAAUACCGGAUAAUGUCUUCGGACCAAAGAUUUAUCGCCUUUGGAUGGGCCCGCGUUGGAUUAGCUAGUUGGUAGGGUAAAAGCCUACCAAGGCGACGAUCCAUAGCUGGUCUGAGAGGAUGAUCAGCCACACUGGGACUGAGACACGGCCCAGACUCCUAGGGGUGGCAGCAGUGGGGAAUAUUGGAGGAUGCGCGAAAGCCUGAUCCAGCAGUGCGGCGGUAGUGACGAAAGCCUUAGGGUUGUGAAGCUGUUUUACGCGCGAUGAAAAUGACGGUACCGGGAGAAUAAGCUAGUGGUAACCCCGUG
rnacentral:rRNA from 1 species